AGCGAACGCUCGCGGCAGGCUUAACACAUGCAAGUCGAGCGGGCAUCCUUGUGGUGUCAGCGGCAGACGGGUGAGUAACGCGUGGGAACGUGCCCUUCGGUUCGGAAUAACUCAGGGAAACUUGAGCUAAUACCGGAUACGUGCGAGAGCAGAAAGGUUUAUCUGCCGAAGGAUCGGCCCGCGUCUGAUUAGCUAGUUGGUGAGGUUACGGCUCACCAAGGCGACGAUCAGUAGCUGGUCUGAGAGGAUGAUCAGCCACACUGGGACUGAGACACGGCCCAGACUCCUACGGGAGGCAGCAGUGGGGAAUAUUGGACAAUGGGGGCAACCCUGAUCCAGCCAUGCCGCGUGAGUGAUGACGGCCUUAGGGUUGUAAAGCUCUUUUCUCCGGGACGAUAAUGACGGUACCGGAGGAAUAAGCCCCGGCUAACUUCGUG
rnacentral:rRNA from 1 species